CAGGAGGGGAUGGGAUGGCAAUCGAGCGUCAUUGGCUUCCGACGAUCAGUGCAACAUUUUCAUUGCCGUUAGCCACGACAUAUUACUCGUGUUUGAAUUUCGCUCAACUCAAGUGAACUCGGUCGAUCGUUUGCGAGCGUAGCCUUAGAAAGGCACAGCCUUCCAAGAACGUCUGGAAGUAUUAGAGACGCAUGCUACGUCUGUGCCCCUUUAAAAGCUAAAACUACCACUGCAAGUCCGCCACCGCAAUGUGGGUCACCAGUGCGCAAGGGACGAAAGAGCGGGGAAGGGAGGAAGAGAGGCGAUAGAUCUCGGGUCGGAGAAUAUCGUCUUUCGCUUGAGUGCCCGUUAAUUCGUCCGGCUUCACGAAUCUUCGCAGAUCGGAUCCAAACGCUUCGUGAAACGGAAUCACAGGCCAGUUACGGGCCAAAUAUGGUCGAUAUGAAGCUAGAGGAUAUGUGACUAUCGCUAACGUCAACUGUCGUACCGUCGACGCCAGAAAGAUGGGUCAAGAAUCCCGGGACAGCGGUGACGAUCACGAAUUGUGACGGAAGGCUACAGUUUCGCAUUAUGAUCCAUCAGCAUCGGUCAUCACUCAGUGACAGUAGAAUAUCAUGAGAACUCGGUUGCCGGUGCGGUGCCCGUAGUCGUAUCCGUGAAUGUAGAUUCCCGUAAUGCGCGUUUCGCGGGUUAUGUUACACACACACAGUAACGAUAAAAGGUAUUAUCGGACAGCCGUGGAUCGGACGUGAGCAUAAGUGUGCGUUUGUGGAGCGAUCGUAUGGCGCAGCGCGACACGGCAAUAAUAAAUUUUCAUAAAGAAACACACACAAAUCUCAAACGGAACAUCGGUAAAAAUAGGGAAGAGUGAGUGAAAAUGAGAGAAAGUGAAUAAAAAAAGAGAGAGAGAAAGAAAGAGACGGCGAGUGUCGUGCUCCCCGCACGUAAGCAACACCGCGCGCACACCGCUCGACACCCGCUGCCGAUUCCCACUUUUCUCCUCUCCGGUCACGGCGGAGCGCAAUGCAACCCCCGUGCAACCCUUCAACCCCCACCGCCCCGUCAUGAUGGUGGAUGCGCGCGCCCCUUUUCGCUAUGUGCGCGCGCGUGCCUCUCCAAUUCUCACGCUAAAAAUGUGAAAUUUGUCGCGGGAUGUGCGCAAGACGAGACGAAUUACGGCGCCGCGCGGAAUUCUUAAUAACUUGUGUUAUCCAUGCAUACUCAAUCACGAUACAGUUGUAAAGUAAUAAUUAUUUCCGUAUAUAGAAAAUAGAAAUUGUUCACGGCGAUAAAGAAUCGUAUGAAUUUUUACGCGCCUCGAAUAAUCAUAAUAUGAUGUAAUAUCGUGCGCGAUAUGUCAAGCAGACAAAAUUCCGACAAAUUGAGUUGUCUUAGUUGAAGGGUCGAAUGAUUUUGAAUAAAAAUUCAAACUAAUAUAAAAAUGAAUAGAAAAAGACUCUUCUCCUGAUUCUUUAUAUGUACGAGAUUGGAAGAAAUUGUCGAUUCACAAAGAUCUCAAAGCGCAAAAAUUUCGUACAAUUCAUCGUUAUCAUGCCGCCGCAUAGCAUUAUUCUAUCGAGCAUUAUUCUAGAUUCUGCUUUCCGCAUCGUUGACGACGCAUGCGUGGGUUAGAUUUUCUUUUGGCAGAGCUACAAGAACGAAAACUGCGGUGUCUAUCUUUCUACGGUGCGCACGUUUUUCUUGUAUAUUAGGCAAACAAGUGCUUUUAAACACGAAUUACAAAUUAGAAAGUGUAAGUGUCAUUUCAGUAAGUAUAUCUUUUUCACUCCCUCUCGUAACAAAUGUGUCAGAUAUUAUCAGCAUUAUAAAUAGUCGAUUAUAAUUAGACAAAGAUUCUAAGAAUUUUAUCUUGUUUUUACCAUAUACAUAUUAGUAGCUUCUAAUAAUAUCGUAUAAUAGUAGCUACUAAUUCCAUAAUAUAAACGAUAUCCUAACAAUGUUGUAUGUAUAUAUGCAACAGCCAAAAUUGACGUUUAUUUCACAUCGUCAGUUAUUGCAAUAAAUAUUACCAAGUACUUUUGGUGGUCGAACUGGAUAUGACACCUGUCCGGAGAGUUCAAAAAUCCAGGCUCAAACCCUAAUCGAGUUAAUAUUUUUUGCAAUAAAUUACUUACAGUUUUUUGGGAUAAAGGGAGAUAGUAGAGAGCUUGUAACCAUGAAAAAUUAUUAAUUGUUUAGCAAUCUAAUUUUUGUGAUAUUACAUUUUUUACUCUUUUUAAAAAGCUGUGUUUUAAGUAUGCGGUGCGCAGUUUGAGGAAUCCUGUAAAUGUUUGUAAAUUCACCCAGAAAAUUAUUGAGCACAAAGCUCUGCCUUCAACCGGUAUAACCUUCUUGUUAUGUAAAUAUGUUUAUAAUUUCAGUUUUGCGAAUAAUGUUAAGUGGCACAUCAAAAAACAAGCUGUAAGAUAUAAAUAGUAAAAAGAUUAAGAUAUUUGAUUUUUUGCUUUACUGUUUGAUAUUAUGAUUUUUACUGUUCUUAUUACUUGCAUUUUUUUUAUGUACUUUUACUAAGCCCUACAAUCAUCAUCAUUCUUGAUUAAGAUAGAUUAAUAUACAAUAUAAAUAAAAACAUCUUUGAAUACCAUUCAAGUUUAUGA